rnacentral:rRNA from 1 species
AGCCUACGGGACGCAGCAGUGGGGAAUAUUGCACAAUGGGGGAAACCCUGAUGCAGCAACGCCGCGUGAGUGAAGAAGUAUCUCGGUAUGUAAAGCUCUAUCAGCAGGGAAGAAAUUGACGGUACCUGACUAAGAAGCCCCGGCCAACUACGUGCCAGCAGCCGCGGUAAUACGUAGGGGGCAAGCGUUAUCCGGAUUUACUGGGUGUAAAGGGAGCGUAGACGGUGUGGCAAGUCUGAAGUGAAAGCCCGGGGCUCAACC